rnacentral:rRNA from 1 species
GGGAAUCUUCGGAUUCUAGUGGCGGACGGGUGAGUAACGCGUAAGAAUCAAACUUCAGGACGGGGACAACAGUUGGAAACGACUGCUAAUACCCGAUGUGCCGAAAGGUGAAACCUAAUUGGCCUGAAGAAGAGCUUGCGUCUGAUUAGCUAGUUGGUGGGGUAAAGGCCUACCAAGGCGACGAUCAGUAGCUGGUCUGAGAGGAUGAGCAGCCACACUGGGACUGAGACACGGCCCAGACUCCUACGGGAGGCAGCAGUGGGGAAUUUUCCGCAAUGGGCGAAAGCCUGACGGAGCAACGCCGCGUGAGGGAGGAAGGUCUUUGGAUUGUAAACCUCUUUUCUCAAGGAAGAAGUUCUGACGGUACUUGAGGAAUCAGCCUCGGCUAACUCCGUGCCAGCAGCCGCGGUAAUACGGGGGAGGCAAGCGUUAUCCGGAAUUAUUGGGCGUAAAGCGUCCGCAGGUGGUCAGCCAAGUCUGCCGUCAAAUCAGGUUGCUUAACGACCUAAAGGCGGUGGAAACUGGCAGACUAGAGAGCAGUAGGGGUAGCAGGAAUUCCCAGUGUAGCGGUGAAAUGCGUAGAGAUUGGGAAGAACAUCGGUGGCGAAAGCGUGCUACUGGGCUGUAUCUGACACUCAGGGACGAAAGCUAGGGGAGCGAAAGGGAUUAGAUACCCCUGUAGUCCUAGCCGUAAACGAUGGAUACUAGGCGUGGCUUGUAUCGACCCGAGCCGUGCCGAAGCUAACGCGUUAAGUAUCCCGCCUGGGGAGUACGCACGCAAGUGUGAAACUCAAAGGAAUUGACGGGGGCCCGCACAAGCGGUGGAGUAUGUGGGUUUAAUUCGAUGCAACGCGAAGAANCCUUACCAAGACUUGACAUGUCGCGAACCCUGGNGAAAGCUGGGGGUGCCUUCGGGAGCGCGAACACAGGUGGUGCAUGG